UGGCGGACGGGUGAGUAACGCGUGGGUAACCUACCUCACACAGGGGGAUAACAGUUGGAAACGACCGCUAAUACCGCAUAAGCCGGAAGGAUCGCAUGAUCCGGCCGGAAAAGAUUUAUCGGUGUGAGAUGGACCCGCGUCUGAUUAGCCAGUUGGCAGGGUAACGGCCUACCAAAGCGACGAUCAGUAGCCGGCCUGAGAGGGUGAACGGCCACAUUGGGACUGAGACACGGCCCAAACUCCUACGGGAGGCAGCAG
rnacentral:rRNA from 1 species